rnacentral:rRNA from 1 species
GUGGGGAAUUUUGGACAAUGGGCGCAAGCCUGAUCCAGCAAUGCCGCGUGCAGGAAGAAGGCCUUCGGGUUGUAAACUGCUUUUGUACGGAACGAAACGGUCCUGGCUAAUAUCCGGGGCUAAUGACGGUACCGUAAGAAUAAGCACCGGCUAACUACGUGCCAGCAGCCGCGGUAAUACGUAGGGUGCGAGCGUUAAUCGGAAUUACUGGGCGUAAAGCGUGCGCAGGCGGUGCGGUAAGACAGGCGUGAGAUCCCCGGGCGCAACCUGGGAAUUGCGCUUGUGACUGCAGUGCUGGAGUGCGGCAGAGGGGGAUGGAAUUCCGCGUGUAGCAGUGAAAUGCGUAGAUAUGCGGAGGAACACCGAUGGCGAAGGCAAUCCCCUGGGCCUGCACUGACGCUCAUGCACGAAAGCGUGGGGAGCAAACAGGAUUAGAAACCCGGGUAGUCC